rnacentral:rRNA from 1 species
CUACUAAUAAAGCACGGAGUGCUUCUGCCCGUACGUCGUCGGCACUUUUGCAAAAAAGCCCCUCUAUUUCUUAGUAUUCAACCCGCGGUCCUUGUGCUAAAACAACCCGAAGCGUUACGUGAGAUAAAAAAAAUAAAAAGGGGAUCCUGCCUCCUCCGAUCAGAUCUCCACCUCCAUCGCGCCUCGCCCCGCCUCAAGGCGCGCCGCCGUCCGCCACCGUGUGCCGCUGGUCGCCGCCGCCCACCUGGCCGGUGCGCCCUACCCCAUGUUCCCCAACACCCGCGGCCUUCCACCGCUGGCGACGCUCGACGCGGCGGCCACGGCGGCGCAGGCUUGCAAGGGGCGGCGGCCAUGGCGGGGAGGCGCCACUGCGCUCGGGCACCGCAUCAGGCGGCGGUAGCGAGGCGGGAGGCGCGAAUGGAAUGAAGAAGAAGAAAGUGGAGAGGCGGGGGCGGAGGCCGUGGCGGAGAGGCCGCGCUGCGCUCGGGGGCCGCAUCAGGCGGCGGCAGCGAGGCGG